rnacentral:rRNA from 1 species
GCUCAUUACAACAGCCAUCGUUUAUUAGAAUAUCGUUAUCCUACUUGGAUAACUGUGGCAAUUCUAGAGCUAAUACAUGCAAUAAAGCUCCGCCCGCAAGGAACGAGCGCAUUUAUUAGAAUAAAAACCAAUCGGGUUUCGGCCCGUAAUUUGGUGAAUCUGAAUAACUUUGCCAAUCGCACAGUCCUAGUACUGGCGAUGUAUCUUUCAAGUGUCUGCCUUAUCAACUUUCGAUGGUACGCUAUACGCCUACCAUGGUAGUAACGGGUAACGGAGAAUAAGGGUUCGACUCCGGAGAGGGAGCCUGAGAAACGGCUACCACAUCCAAGGAAGGCAGCAGGCGCGCAAAUUACCCACUUCCAGAACGGAGAGGUAGUGACGAAAAAUAACGAGACAGUCCUCUUCGAGGUCUGUCAUCGGAAUGGGUACAAUUUAAAUCCUUUAACGAGGAUCUAUUGGAGGGCAAGUCUGGUGCCAGCAGCCGCGGUAAUUCCAGCUCCAAUAGCGUAUAUUAAAGUUGUUGCGGUUAAAACGCUCGUAGUUGGAUUUGCGGCCUCGAAGAACGGUCCCCCGAAAGGGUGGUCACUGUCUCUUCUAGCCUAAAGUCGAGUCGUCUCUAGGUGCUCUUUAUUGAGUGCUUAGAGUGACUAGAACGUUUACUUUGAAAAAAUUAGAGUGCUUAAAGCAGACGAAAUAGUCUGAAUAAGGUGCAUGGAAUAAUGGAAUAGGACCUCGGUUCUAUUUUGUUGGUUUUCGGAGCCCGAGGUAAUGAUUAAGAGGAACAGACGGGGGCAUUCGUAUUCCGGCGCUAGAGGUGAAAUUC